UAGAGAGAGGAGCUGGAAUAUGUUGGUAAGUAGUCGAGUGUGAAAGGAUGCGAAUGUGGUGGAUUGAUCGAUCAAUGUGCACUGCUGGGUACAUGGGCACUGCUGAUGACAGACCAAAGGAUUCGAAGUGGAAACUCGGUCUGAUUAGCAACGUUUCCCGGUAGUUCUCUUUACUUUUGUGGAUUGAGAAUGAAUAGCAUGUUGUGGAAUUUUCGGAGGGUAAGGAAUGGGGCAAAUAAACCCAAUUUCAGACUUUAAAUUCCAUAUCUUUUAAGAAAAUCUGUUGAGAGGAGCGAUACUAUGUUGGUAAGUAGUGGAGUGUGAAAGGAUGUGAAUAUGUACAUAGUCAAGACUAUGUACGGCGGAGGACGAAGAUAGGAGCGAGACUCUGUUGGUAAGUAGUUGAGGGUGAAAGGAUGCGAAUGUGGUGGACUGGGUAUCGAGUUAGUCAGGCAUAAGGGCACUGCUGAUGACAUACCAAAGGAAUCGAAGUGGAAAGUCGAUCUGAUUAGUAACGAUUCCCAGUACUUCAUGUGAAGCCAAUAUAAAGGGAGAAGGCUUAUUAUAAAGUGAGAUGAAAUUUUUUUGGAGGAUACUCUCAAGGAAGUAGGCUUGUCUCAUGUGUGGGUAAAAUGGAUUAUGCAGUGUGUGGUGGGACCAUCUAUGAGUUUUCUAUGGAAUGGUGAGAGGUAAAUUCUUUCUCACCUUUAAGAGGUUUCGGACAGGGCGAGCCUUUUUCCUUAUACUUAUUUGUGUUGUGCUUUGAGCGUUUGUGCCAUUUGAUCGAAGUCUCGGUAGUGAUGAACAAGUGGAAGCGGAUUAAAUUAUCUCAAACGAGAUCACAGUUACUUCGGCUUAUAAGCUUGUGACAUGAGAUACAACACUAAAACAUAACAUGAAUCAUUUUUUGGACGACUUUGGAGAGUUAUUGCACUAGAAAUAUUGAAGCUUUACAUUUGGUAAGUUGUGCAACAAGUGAUUACGAAGAACGUAGUGAGGAAGAAGAGAUAUCUUUGUGAUUCUUAUGUUCGUCAAGUUGUAAGGGAGAAAUUGGAACCACCGUACAUGUUCUUUGCGACUGUCAAGCCGUAGCCGGUUUAAGGGUUCAAAUAUGUCCCUCAACUUUAGGGCUAGUUUUCUUUAAUACAUCCUUACUUGAAUGGGUUUAUGCAAAUUUGGCGAGUAAGAUAGUAACGAAGGAAGGGGAAUGGUCCACGACGAUGUUCCAUAAGGCCUUAUGGUGGGGUUGGAAAUGGCGAUAUUGUAAUGUGUUUGGGAAGAAGGGUACUUGCUCUGAUAGUGUUCGGUUCAUAAGAGAUCUUGCGGUUGAGAUGACACGGGCAAACGCAGAGAGAUGAGAACAAAUGACUAAGUAUUCGAGAGUGGAAUUAGAGAUUGGUGGGAGGUCCCAUUGCAGGGAUGGUUUAAACUUUAUACUGAUGGAGCGAUUAAAUAGAAUUCGACUUUAGCUACUAUAAAAGGUGUGUUGCGAGAUAAUGGAGGAAAUUGGUGUAGAGGUUUUACAGUGAAUAUUAGUUGGUGUAGAGGUUUUACAAUGAAUAUUAGUGGUGUAGAGGUUUAUAGUGAAUAUUUAGCUGGUGUUCGGCUGAGUUAGCCGAGCUAUGGGGUGUUUACUAUGGCCUCUAUAUGACUUGGGAGAAGCGAGUCACAAGGUUGGAAUUGGUAGUGGACUCGGAAGUGGUGGUUGGUUUCUUAAACUAGGUAUAAGUAUGAAUGAUGAAAUGAUCUUUCAUGAGAUAAAUACUUGAAGGGUUCAAGAUAUUAAUGAAUAGAUUAUAAAAAUAUUAAUAACGAAGCAUGAUGGUGUCUUGGUGAGACGACUUGUGGAUGCAGGGAAUGAUUUUUUGUAGUCUCUUAAAUAUUUUAAGUUUUUGGAACGCCGCCGUUUUGAUUGUUAAUAUUAAUGGGUCGAAUUCAACUAGGCUCAAAUUGCUAGAUUUUCUAACCCUAGGCUACAAGUUACGAAAACGCAACGUUUUCUAGGAAAUGUGUUUGAUAAUAUUCUCCUUUGAAAAUGGAAAGACGCAGCGUUUCUAAGAGUCACUGGAAUGUUCCCUUAACAUUUUUAUACAUUCCUCUCUUAAACCCUUAGAGCAAGGGCAACGGCGGCUUAUUCGUCCGUCUCCCGUAUUUCAAUGUUUUAAUUUAAAUGGGUAAGUGAAGAAAUACGAAGAAACGUUCGUUGAAACGUGACGAUUUAUUCCGUCCCUCUUGCCACGUGUCACGUCCAGAUUGGAUGUGGGAUAAGUGAAGGAAGAAAUUUUUCGGGGGUCUGGUCGAUUUGUUCUUUCUCUUCUUCUCUGUCUGUGGCGUCUGUAGCUGUCGAGAGAAGGCGAGUGGAAGGGCGAUUUGAAUCGAUAGCGAGCUUCCGUCGGUGGUGAGUCUAAAUCGUGUUCCGGACCGGCUUAGAUUUCUUCCGGCGGACGAAGCCCCAAUCGGAAAGGCUUUAUGAAACCCUAAUCAGUGAGGACUGAAAAGCAUAAAUAAGGAGUGGAAGAAGCAGCAAUUUCAUAUAACAUUCGAAGUUAUGAUAUGAUCAUGCCUAGCACAACGAACUUGGAACGUCACAAAGAGCUUGUAGCCGAGGAGGAGUUUGAAGCAGAGGAGCAGCUCGAAGCUAAGGAGCUGUUUGAACCAGAGAAUGAGCUUACAGCGGAGAAAAGAGUAUGGCAAAAAUGUUAUCUUAACCUCACUGGUUUUGAUACAUGAUCACUAAAUGGGCAUGUGUCUCAUUUGUACUCUUUUUCCCUUGUCAAGUUUUGUCCCAAUGGGUUUUCUUGACAAGGUUUUUAAUGAGGUAAAUGAUUCACAUUCAAAUCACCCAUUUGUUGAUCCAAACCAUGACAAUGCAUUCAGAACUUGGCCCAAUGGAAUAUAUAUCAAGUCUAGCUUGUUUUAUGCCUAUUACAAGCCCAAGAAGAGCC